CCGGCGCACGGGUGAGUAACGCGUAUCCAACCUGCCUACACUCUUGGACAGCCUUCUGAAAGGAGAUUAAUACAAGAUGGCAUCAUGAGUCCGCAUGUUCACAUGAUUAAAGGUAUUCCGGUAGACGAUGGGGAUGCGUUCCAUUAGAUAGUAGGCGGGGUAACGGCCCACCUAGUCUUCGAUGGGUAGGGGUUCUGAGAGGAAGGUCCCCCACAUUGGAACUGAGACACGGUCCAA
rnacentral:rRNA from 1 species